CCGCAUGUGGAGGGUGCUGCUGGUUAACCACCCAGAAGCUGUGGUUAACCGCAGCCUAAUUGACGAAAGGCUGGGUGGUCGUCGUUCAUAUGAACGAACACGUGGCAGCAGCCAUUUUGUGUAGCCGAAUGCGAUCAGCGGUGUUUUGUUGUCAAACGCCUGAAACCAAAAUCGGACACUCAUUUUUGGAUAUGUUGUUCGCCCAGAUGAGAG